AGAUAAUAGAUACCCCGGUAGUCCUGGCCGUAAACGAUGACCACCAGGUGUGGGAGGUAUCGACCCCUUCCGUGCCGUAGUUAAACACAGUAAAGUGGUCCGCCUGGGGAGUACGGUCGCAAGAUUAAAACUCAAAGGGAUUGACGGGGACCCGCACAAGCAGCGGAGCGUGUGGUUUAAUUCGAUGCGACGCGAAGAACCUUACCAGGGCUUGACAUGCAGGCGCACCGCUGAGCGAUCAGCGUGCCCGCAAGGGACGCCUGCACAGGUGCUGCAUGGCUGUCGUCAGCUCGUGCCGUGAGGUGUUGGGUUUAAGUCCCGCAACGAGCGCAACCCCUGUGCUCGGUUGAGCUUUCCGAGCAGACUGCCACGCUAAACCGUGGAGGAAGGUGGGGAUGACGUCAAGUCAGCAC
rnacentral:rRNA from 1 species